GUCUAUGGCCAUGCUACCCUGAACAAGCCCAAUCCUGUCUGAUCUCGGGAGCUAAGCAGGGUCGAGCCUGGUUAGUACUUGGGUGGGAGACCAUCUAGAAAGACCGGGUGCUAAAGGCA
rnacentral:rRNA from 1 species